rnacentral:misc_RNA from 1 species
CCGAGUUAGGGUCUCCUCCGUGAGGCCCGACCUCCCAACCCCGUGUCUAAUAAACCUGUUUGUGUUGCUUCGGCGGAACGGCAGUCAAUCCCUCUGGGAACGACCGUCGCCGGGGGAUUCACGGUCUCACGACCGCCCCUGGAGAGCGUCCGUCGAUGGCCCCAACCAAAUAAACUACCAAAACCAAAUUAUGGAAUUAAAAUUUUCUGAAUCAGACUUUUGAUAUACCAAUCAAAAACA